AUGAACUGCAUUGCCUGUGUCCCCGUUGACACUCGUCCACGCCAACGCGGGCCAGCCUCCACAGACGCCUCCCUCUGGCCCAGAUCCACAGCGCCCCGAGGGAGGCACAGAUCUCAUCGGUGGCUAAUGUAUGCGGUGGCCGAGGACGCACGGUGGGGAGAGAUGGUUUGGAGGGUGGCGCGCGGCGACUGGGGACGCACGGUGGGGAUAGAUGGUGGAGGAGGGUGGCACGCGCCUCGCCCAGGCCUCCUUCCACGCCGCAGCGGCGGAGUCCAAGCGCUCAUCGUGAGGACGCACGGGCGAGGAGGAUUUGGUGAGCUUCGGCGCCGAUUCCGUUGGCUCCGGCGAGCUCCGGCGCCGAUUCGUUUGGCUCUGGCGAGCUCAUCCCCCUCCUACAAAGGUUUUUUUUUAAUCGUUGGCCCGACAUUUUUUAACACUUGCCGCAAUGUAAUUAGCUAG
rnacentral:rRNA from 1 species